UACGAAGGGGGCUAGCGUUGUUCGGAUUUACUGGGCGUAAAGCGCACGUAGGCGGAUUGGUCAGUUAGGGGUGAAAUCCUGGAGCUCAACUCCAGAACCGCCUUUAAUACUGCCAGUCUCGAGUCCGGAAGAGGUAAGUGGAACUCCUAGUGUAGAGGUGGAAUUCGUAGAUAUUAGGAAGAACACCAGUGGCGAAGGCGGCUUACUGGUCCGGUACUGACGCUGAGGUGCGAAAGCGUGGGGAGCAAACAGG
rnacentral:rRNA from 1 species